GUCACGUGAUGCCAGAUGCUGCGGUGGUCGCUCCGUUUAGCUGUGUUUCCACGCGUUCUUAAAGUGAAUGGGUGGCCCUCGUCUCCUGCAGUUUUUCUAUUGUGCCUGCGCCGGCGUGAGUCACCUGCACACCGGAGUUUGUAAAAUGUUACGCUUUUCAGCAGGAGGCGUGGUGUACCUGCAAGGCAGGAGGAGAUUGUUAGGAGGUUAUAUUUAUUUAGAGCCAGCUAUUUCACCCCGCUCUUUCCUGCUCUUCAGCUUUCCUCUUAAAGGGCACCCUCAUACUCUCUACAGGAUCUCCACUGGGACAAACUUCUAAUCAACAAAACAUAAAGGAUUGCUAGACAGAAUACAACAAAACGCUUUGCUUGCUUUCAUCAAAAGCCUAACUUUGGGAAAUGGUGCAACCUAUUGAAAUAAGAGGAGUGCUUUCCACAGCCCAGGAGCAGCUACAGAGAAGGCCUGCCUCUGAGUCACCACCAGACGUGUUGGUUGUAACUGAAGAUGGACCUCCUCAGAUGACCUUAGCAUGUGGUGGGGAUUGUGCAGAAGAAGGCGCUCUCUAAGAUAACUCGGACCUAACCCGUUGAGGGCUUUAAAGAUCCUACAGCAAACUGGCAGAAGACAAGCAAAGCAGCAAGAACAAGAACAAGAACUGGGCACCAAUAGCAGGCCAAGGGGGGAGCGCUUAGUGGGCAAGAAAGAAGAGACAGAGGUCUGGAUGGAGAGCCCUCAUUCAAAUUCCAGGACAGACUCUGAAUGCCAAGAGUAGUCCCAUCUAACAGAGUGAUCUUUUUGAUCUACAUACAGAAAAGAUGCUGCUGGGAAAUGGGCUGGCCUGUGGAUGGCCUGCACCCCUAGCCAUGGCCUCUGGGAAAGAUCAUAUGGUCACUCUUCCAAAGAGCAUAAGGUCGGGAUCCUAGUGCUUAAUUUUAAGUAUUAUCAGUGGGCCAGGCUUGGGAAGAGAAGUCCCAAGGGAAAAGACCUCUUAUCAGAGCAAGGCAGAAGAGGAAAGAUCUAGUGGAGGUGCUCCAGCAGCCUGGAUGUUGGGGUAGUUGGCAGAACCUGGCCAGAGAUGCUGGUACCUCGCCCCCCAAGGGUCUCUGUAUGGCUUACACACAAAGCCAUGACCCUUGGGAAGGUUGGAUAAUGGCUCUAUCCUUGGGAAUGUCUGUAAAAACGAUGUCAAUUUUCAAAGGCGUGGCUUCGGCAGAGAGCGUGGUGGUGGUGGUUUGGCCACUGAGUCUAGCGGUGGAUUUCCCUCGGAGUAAGGGUCUGGCUCCUUGGAGGGAUUAGUGCUAUGAUGGUCAACACUGGCAAUAGAUCGCUCCUUUGCUGACCAGAUGGAUGUUGCUAUGAAGAUGGAAGUGGCCUAGGCAGAGGCUUUCCCAUUAGGGUCAGGGUCUUCUUUCCUGGAAUUGUGCUGGAAUAUGGUAUUGGAGGAACCUUCUUAUUAAGUAGGGCAGAAAGAUUGUUCUUCCCUCGUGGUUAGAAGACAUGCCCAGACUUGAUCGGGUUCAAAGCCAGACUCCUUGUGGGGAACUGCUUGCAAAGAUUCAGCUUCUGGAAUGAGAAGUCCUAUUUUCUCCAGUCAGUUGCUGUGGAUUAGAACCCUAGUGUUCUUUUUUGAGUGACAUCAAUAGCCCUAAAGGGUAGGCCCCAGCUAUGAGGUCUCCCCCCAUGACUAGACAGAAGACCUAGCAGAGGCAUUUCAGCAGCCCAGAUGAUGGUUUAUUGUGUGGUAUGCAGACCCAAGGGGUUGCUACCAUAAGAUUAGCUCAUCUCCGUAAGGCUUGCACCGGAAGCCAUAGCCCUUGGGAAGGAUUAGAUGGGUGCUGUUCCUGAGGGCAUGGCUUCAUCAGGUAGUAUGGUGGUGAUGGUUUGGCCAGAGAGUUGGAGACUACACUAAAUCAUAGCUUGCUAUCAGUAAACAUGUUCCCAGUGGCCCAUUCUCAGAGUAGGUCAAGCUAGGCUCACAGAGUGGCCAAUCUCAGAGCUCAUGGGUCAAGCUCCUUCUCAGCUCCCCUCCAGCAGCCCAGAUGAUGACGUUUUGGGUGGUGAUCUUCCACUGCUGCUGCCUUUCCUCCAAGGGAUUCCCACCGGAUGAUCAGCCAGUCUCUCUAAAACCUGCACCUGAAGCCAUAGCCCUUGGGAAGGUUUUGAUGGUGGUUCUUUCCAGGGGCAUGGCUUCAGCAGGGAGAAUGGUGGUGUUGGUUUGGCCACAUUGCUGGAGACUAACAGUGGAUGUCCCCAGGAGCAUGAGUCUGGUUCUGGCUUUGGCAUUGACUUGGGCCCUAGCGCUUUGAUAGUCAGUACUGGCAAUGGGUUGAGCAUCUGCCAAGCAGAUAGAUCUUGCCAUAAAGAUGGCAAAGGCUUUGGCAGAGGGCUCACCAUUGGGGUCAGGAUCAUCUUCCCCGAUGAAGUGAUCUGGAGAAGAAAUGUCUCCCUAGACAGGCAAGAGAAACAGUUCUCCCCCAGUGAGAAGAAGUCCUGCCCAGCCUCCCCAAGGUCCAUAGUCAGGUUGCUCCUGGUGAUGGGCUGCAAUCUUCUGGCAGCAUCCACCGCAGCUUUCAGCUUCCUUCUGGGGAGUCUGCACUCCCCCAGGUGGGGAAGGGGUCUCACCCCAGAAGGCACACUUCCACCUGGUACAUUGGCCAGACAAAGACCAGCUUUGGGGAUCUCCCCCAAAGUAGGUACACAUACCUCAUCUUUUUUCAUUUACUCCGCAUUCUGAAGAGGUUUAGUAGAAGAAGCUGCUUUUCCACUGUGGUUAAAUUCCUGGUCCAUAAGAGUAGGCUGAAGAAAAGUGGGUGUAUAUCAGUCAUUUCCCCAAUCUCCAGCACUUGUCCUGACCCUCUCACCACUUGCGACAGGUCUGAGGUUGGAGGAACACACUAGCUCAAGUACUAGGUCCACAAGGAUAGGCUGAGAAGACCUAUUUAUGUCUUUUCUCCAGUCUCCAGCACUUGUCCAGACCCUCUUGCUACUUGCCGCAAGUCUGAGGCUUGAAGACCAUGCUGCUCUUUGAUAUUUAGCAAUGGCAAUGGGCCGAGCCUCUGCAGAGCAGAUGGAUGUUGCCAUGAAGAUGUCAGAGACUUUGGCAGGGGUUAUCCCAUUGGGGUCAGUAUCAUCUGCCUGAAGAAAUCUGGGCAAGAACCAUCUCCUGGACAGGCCAGAAAAAGGCUCCUCCCCAGUGGGAAGAAGCCCUGCCUAGACUCCCUAAGGUUCAGAGCCAGGUUGCUCCUGGGGAUGGGCUGCAAUGUUCUGGCAGGAUCCACCGCAGCCCCUAGCUUCCUUCUGAGGAGUUCUUCCCUCCAGGCAGAAAAUCAAGAAAUGUGGCUGUUCCAUAUAUUCCUCUAGGGGCCUUUUCUGCCCACUACCUUCAGGCUGCUGGCAAUAAAAGAGUUUUCUUGACCCUCAGUCUGAAUGGAAGAUGGAGGAAAGACUGCUAGGUUGGAACAAAUCCUGACUUUCUGCACUGUGUCUAACUGUGUGUCAGUUAAGAACAAGAAGAUGGAGAGCAUUGCCUGGUUGUCUUAAAACAUGUUAACACGUUUCCUCCCCUAAAAGGGCAUAAACAUUUGUUUUAGGAGUGAAGAUGAACAUGUUUGUGAAUUAUGCGCUGUCCUUUUAUAUGGCUUGACUCUGAAUAGACUAGGUGCCAACCUUGUUGCUCAAAGUGUUUUCAUAUCCUUCCAUUUGUAGCAGACAUGACACCUCAAUUGGUUUUGUUCUUGAACAUAAUCAAAAUAUAUGUCUUUUCUGCAUCGGUUGUCAUUGAGUUCCACACAUCAACUGGCAAAAUAAACCACAAAGGCUAUGCACUA